rnacentral:pre_miRNA from 1 species
AGAGGAGACAUCCAAAGGGAUCGCAUUGAUCCUAAGCUCUUCUUCUCUCCCCGUAUUUUAAUCUUUUGGAUCAUGCUAUCCCUUUGGAUUCCUCCUU